rnacentral:rRNA from 1 species
AUUGAACGCUGGCGGAAUGCUUUACACAUGCAAGUCGAGCGGCAGCGCGGUCUUCGGACUGGCGGCGAGCGGCGUACGGGUGAGUAAUACAUCGGAACAUGCCCAGUCGUGGGGGAUAACACUUCGAAAGAAGUGCUAAUACCGCAUACGUCCUGAGGGAGAAAGCGGGGGAUCGCAAGACCUCGCGCGAUUGGAGUGGCCGAUGUUAGAUUAGCUAGUUGGUGGGGUAAAGGCCUACCAAGGCAACGAUCUGUAGCUGGUCUGAGAGGAUGAUCAGCCACACUGGGACUGAGACACGGGCCAGACGCCUACGGGAGGCAGCAGUGGGGAAUUUUGGACAAUGGGGGCAACCCUGAUCCAGCCAUUCCGCGUGAGUGAAGAAGGCCUUCGGGUUGUAAAGCUCUUUCGGCAGGAACGAAACGGCGAGCUCUAACAUAGCUCGCUAAUGACGGUACCUGAAGAAGAAGCACUGGCUAACUACGUGCCAGCCGCCGCCGUAACAC